rnacentral:rRNA from 1 species
GGGUUGUGAGGUUAAGCGACUAAGCGUACACGGUGGAUGCCCUGGCAGUCAGAGGCGAUGAAGGACGUGCUAAUCUGCGAUAAGCGUCGGUGAGGUGAUAUGAACCGUUAUAACCGGCGAUUUCCGAAUGGGGAAACCCAGUGUGUUUCGACACACUAUCAUUAACUGAAUCCAUAGGUUAAUGAGGCGAACCGGGGGAACUGAAACAUCUAAGUACCCCGAGGAAAAGAAAUCAACCGAGAUUCCCCCAGUAGCGGCGAGCGAACGGGGAGGAGCCCAGAGCCUGAAUCAGUGUGUGUGUUAGUGGAAGCGUCUGGAAAGGCGCGCGAUACAGGGUGACAGCCCCGUACACAAAAAUGCACAUAUUGUGAGCUCGAUGAGUAGGGCGGGACACGUGGUAUCCUGUCUGAAUAUGGGGGGACCAUCCUCCAAGGCUAAAUACUCCUGACUGACCGAUAGUGAACCAGUACCGUGAGGGAAAGGCGAAAAGAACCUCGGCGAGGGGAGUGAAAAAGAACCUGAAACCGUGUACGUACAAGCAGUGGGAGCCUCUUAAUGGGGUGACUGCGUACCUUUUGUAUAAUGGGUCAGCGACUUAUAUUCUGUAGCAAGGUUAACCGAA